GAUAAAACUUCCAACUACAUUGGUCUGGUAUACUGUUUUGCUUGUUAAAUGGAUGCAUGCAAAAAUGGCCUCCACAAAGCUUAACAGUUCUGCACCAUUGCAUGGUGUUGUUCGAUUAGCAUUGCGCACAAGUACGUUUAACUGCUCUGCAGCUCAAAAACAUAUUGGAUACUCACCAGUUGUCUCCUUGGAAGCACAUCAGAGCUGCUUUGCUUUCUCUCCUGUGCCCCUCCAUCAUCAGGUCCCAACUCUUGCCCAAACUUGAUGACUUCAUGAGGUGCCACCUCAGCAAUUGGGACAACACACUCAUUGACAUUCAACAAAAAACCAAAGAGAUGGAAUUUUUGUCGUCGCUUAACCAAAUUGCAAGUAUUGAAUGGGAGUCAAUGUCUGGGG